UGUUGCCAACCAUAACAUGAGAGUUUCACAUGGCUGCUGCGGAAUCCGUCUGAUUUCAUGUUCGCUUGGUGGUACGGAUGGACUGUUUGUGGUUUUGGUCCUUAAGUUAUCGAAUAGUUUCAUGUAAGUAAUUGCGGGCGUCUUUCAGUUAAUUGGCAAGUGUGGAUUUUGCUUUGAUGUUGCGAAACAUGAGUCGACGUUUACCCACGAAGUUUCAUCUCUAUGUUAUUCGGUAUAUGAAUGGUAUGGUUACUACGCCGAAUGAAAUUAGAAAUAUGUAUCAAGUCAAAAUUCUUUGUUAAGGGUAUUUCGUGGAAAAUAUUAUUUCUGUUGUGACAUAAUAAGCGUCUUUCGGUGUAGCCCAAAGAAGGUCUGUAGAAUGUCAGGAAUAUCUGAUUGUACUGUGAUUGUACUAUAAUUUUUAUAUUGUUUCUUGUAGGGUAGAUGGAACAAAAAGUAUGCUGUGCACCAGGGUGCUCAUCAUCCAGUAGGCAGAGUGGAAUGAGAUUCUUCAACUUUUCCAGGGAUUCAGCAUUGUAUAUCCCUUUUGAUUCAUCAUAUAAUUGCUUUUAUUAUAUGUUGGGUAAUCCAACGAAGAAAUUUAAGUUUAGCCAAUGUCUGCCUUGAAUGUAACCCCACAAUGUAGCACAUGCACCAUGUUUGUAAUGUUUGCUGAUGACUUAUUUCUAGGUUUUGAGCCAAUAUAUAAUUCUCUUUACAGGGUUCUGGUAUGGGCAGGUAGAGUUGGAAUAUCCUACAAUAUUGAUUCUGCUAGAAUGCUACACUAUAAAUAUUGGUGCAGCAGACAUUUCUCAGAAAGUGAUUUCACUGCAGCUAAAAGGGUAUGCCUUAACAGAGUGGCAGUUCCAUGUGGCUCACUUGAAUUCAGUGGAGCAGCAUAUCACAGCUGCCAUUAAGAACACUGUUGAUUUUGAGUGGAUUAGGUGUUAUGGUUGUUCACUGCCAACAAAUAGUAGAUGGUAUUGUGAGAGGUCUUACAAGAAUUUACAUCCCUUGGUGGUGUAAGUGAACAGACAGGUUGAUGACUGAAGCAGCCAUGCAGAGAGCCACAAAGAGGAAGAUGAAAGUACUGCCACAUCAGUAAGUAAUUAGGAGAGUAAUGCUUCAUUUUUGCCAUGUAAUGUCCUGCCCAUCCCAGCCUUGAAAAUGUGCAGAGAGCAGUUAUUGAAUUACUGGAAAAAUGUGUUCCAUCUACUCACAUGAGCAUCAUUAGAUGUUUCAUAAGUUGAAGAAAGUAAUUCUGGUGACAGCAACAAUGCAGCACCAGGAUCUACCAUGCGUUCAGAUGCACUUGUCUCACACCUCUGGUAUUGAAUACUUAGUUUGGGGAGAACACAAAGACACUUAUAGAGAGCUUCACACUGGAGAGGACGUGUGUGGGGUCGUGCUGAAUUUUAUUUCCUGAGAUACUGCGCAAAAGUAACUUAAGUUCUUACCAGCACCAGUCAUCAGUGAUAGACCCCACUCCUCUUGCUACAACAGCUCACGUUACAUACAAGUUCAAUAGUAAGCACCACCACACGCUUUAUUUUCACAUUCAUCAUGCUGUAAAUUGUAUACACAAUCGAUACAUCAUCCAUGAACAUACUAGUUUCAUUGAAGUGAAGAAAGGUAGAAAGUAUGUAGUUUGGAAGAGAGGAAGAGUGCAGUAUGUUGCUCUAGAAGAGUUGCUGGUGAAAGUUGAAGUUUCUUGUGUGCAUUCUCCUGUAGAAUAUAAAAUUGCAUGGCAUUGCAGACAUGUCCUCUCCAGCACAUCGACCCUGAUGUCUCUCACCAUCCCCCUGCAAAGCAAAACCAAGAGGCUGCUAUUAAUUUUUAUCAUCCUCUACCAAAUAAAUAAAGCCAGUGUUUAGUCAAACAGAUUUAUUUGUAAUAAUUCAAAAUCCUAUACCAUUAGAACUUUUCAAUAGAAUGUGCAGAGAAGAAGUUUUGCAUGUUGUUGAGCACUGUUGUGUUUAGGGUGUUAUCUGUUUGUUUUGUCUGGUAGAGAAAGAGAAAGUGUAUAUAAACUGUACAUUAUGACUGGUUGUAUAAAACAUUAUAUGUAGGAUUACAAGUUCUCAUGCUGGUGGUUAUGAAGAAUUCUGUCAUCAGGAAUAGAGUGCCGCAUAGUCUUUUGAAAGUCGAGCGAUGUUGUAGAGAAACAUGUUGCUUCCAUCUUCAGGGCUGAAGAACAAACCAAGCAAGAAACCAGUGUGGAGCAGGUAGCAAGCAGAGAAACUUUUAUAACUUUAUAUGUUCAUACAUGUUGCUAAAAGACAAAACAAACAGAUAGCCACCUUAGCCCAUUAGCAACACUACUCAAUUGAAAAGUUCAUCUAUACGUAGCCUAUAGGAAAGGUGUAAGAUUGAUGCCAGAACAUGUAAACUUUUGUUUAUUACAAACAAAGCUGCUUGACUGAGUUUUUAAACUAACACAUAUUUAUAUCUACUGAACAGAAUGGAAUGCAGUCAUUUAAGUUUAAAAGUUAAUAAAUGAAGCUUACUGUAGAAUAAUACUCAGGUAAGAAAUCAUCUGUUGCGUUUUGGGAACGGACUUCAGUUCAUGAAGUCAUCAGUGUUAGUGGUGAUAUUCAAAAUCGAUUGAAAUUGAUUUGAAAAUGGAAGCAUUGCUACAAAUAGGCUUUGUACAUUGACGGCUACAGAUCAAAGAAUUUUGGUGGUACAGUUACAGAUCCAUCCAGUUUAGCCUACUUUCCUUAUUUUGAAAAACAGUAGAAUCAUGUCUGUGUGUUUCUGUAUCCCCCCCAAUUGACUUCUGAUUGCCUGAACACAUUUUUAUGAAACUUGGUAUGUAUAUCAUGGCACCUGAGCUCAUUUCAAUGGUGCACUUCAUAAAUCCCACCCAUCAGUCUGUGUGUCUGCAUGUGUAUCCCUCUACCUAUGCUAAGCAGGGGCUUAGUAAAAACGCUACCACAGCAGU